rnacentral:rRNA from 1 species
AAUCAACGCUGGCGGCGUGCCUCAGACAUGCAGGUCGAACGAUUAAGACUCUCUUCGGAGAGUGUAUAAAGUGGCGCACGGGUGAGUAACACGUAGGUAAUGUACCGAAGGGUGGGGAAUAACUUAGGGAAACUUAAGCUAAUACCGCAUAAUGCAGCGGCUCGACAUCGAGACAGUUGUUAAAGGAGCAAUCCGCCUUUUGAGCAGCCUGCGGCAGAUUAGCUAGUUGGUAAGGUAAUGGCUUACCAAGGCUACGAUCUGUAACCGACCUGAGAGGGUGGUCGGUCACACUGACACUGAAUAACGGGUCAGACUCCUACGGGAGGCAGCAGUCGGGAAUUUUGGGCAAUGGGCGAAAGCCUGACCCAGCAACGCCGCGUGAAGGAUGAAGUAUUUCGGUAUGUAAACUUCGUAAGAAUAGGAAGAAUAAAUGACGGUACUAUUUGUAAGGUACGGCUAACUACGUGCCAGC